rnacentral:ncRNA from 1 species
CGCAAGAAAUUUGAGUGAAUCUGACUUUAGUACGAGAGGACCGAGUUGGACUGACCGCUGGUGUACCAGUUGUUCCGCCAGGAGCACUGCUGGGUAGCUACGUCGGGAAGGGAUAAGCGCUGAAAGCAUAUAAGCGCGAAACCCAUCACAAGAUGAGAUUUCUUUAAAGGGUCGUGGGAGACUACCACGUUGAUAGGUCAUAGGUGUAAAGGCAGUAAUGUCAUAGCCGAGUGAUACUAAUUACCCGU